rnacentral:siRNA from 1 species
CCGAGUGCCGCUCACGCCCGGUC